AAUGAACGUUGGCGGCGUGGAUUAGGCAUGCGAGUCGUGCGAGAACCGUAGCAAUACGGGGACAGCGGCGAAAGGGAGAGGAACACGUGGAUACCUACCCUCAGGUUCAGGAUAGCUAUGGGAAACUAUAGGUAAUACUGAAUAAUAUCUCCGGAUCAAAGGUGUGAUUCCGCCGGAGGAGGGGUCCGCGUCCUAUUAGCUAGUUGGUGAGGUAAUGGCUCACCAAGGCGAAGAUGGGUACGGGAUGUGAGAACAUGAUCCCGCUCAUUGGGACUGAGACACUGCCCAGACACCUACGGGUGGCUGCAGUCGAGAAUCUUCGGCAAUGGGGGAAACCCUGACCGAGCGACGCCGCGUGUGAGAUGAAGGCCUGGUUGUAAUACACUGUCGUAGAGGAGGAAGUGUAGGUGGG
rnacentral:rRNA from 1 species